GAAAACUUGCAGUCGUUUCUUUGGGCUUUGAGAGGGAGAGAAGACCCAGGGGCACUGUUUGAAGGAAGAGAGGAAGCAUUUCUUUCUGAGUGGCCUGGUGAAAGAGUUGAAGGCUGUCAAGCUGCAGGAUCCAGCAAGUUGAAAGGCCAGGUGCUUGAUGGAUUAGUCUACAUUUACGGACAAUUGGUUUUGUUUAUAUGGCGGGAGAGGAGAGAAAUUGGCUACAUGCUAGAGAGAAAUUGAGGUAGUAACUGCACUCUACAGGAAGAGUCUGAAACAGCCAGAAUUUGAUGAUCUUCCAGGCACACUGCAAAAGUAUCCCCUGGAGAAGUUUGGGGAGAGGGCUUGAGAGCAUGAUUCCCAGAAUGAUGAAGCAGUGGAAAGCACUGGUGAGCUCUAGACUUAAGAAGUGAAGGGAAAUAGGAUGACAACCAGUUCCCUGACUCUCCUUUUCUCCAGAUCUGGGUGCACAAGUGAAUCUGGGCCCACAACCAGAUCAACUUUUAGAAAAAUAUCUUGCAGCAAGGAAGAAGGGAGUGGUAAAAGAUUGGGAGUCUGUGUAGCAAUAGAUUAUUGGAAUUGUGGACCCUGGAGACAGUGAGUGGAGAAAUAUUACUGUUGUGACCGGGAUAGGAAAAGGGAGUGUGUUUUUCUUUUCUAUCUUUCUGCAUUUAUAUGCAAUAAAAAGAUGGUGGCCUAUUUUUUUUACAUGCUAAUUGCAUGAAGUAGCAUGAUCCAGUAGCAAAAACAGUGAAGGGUAUAGAUGAU